GAUGAACGCUAGCGGCAGGCCUAAUACAUGCAAGUCGAACGGGAUCCAGAUCAAAGCUUGCUUUGGUUUGGUGAGAGUGGCGCACGGGUGCGUAACGCGUGAGCAACCUACCCUUGUCAGGGGGAUAGCCCGGCGAAAGUCGGAUUAAUACCGCAUGACAUCAUUGAGAGGCAUCUUUCGAUGAUCAAAGAUUUAUCGGACAAGGAUGGGCUCGCGUGACAUUAGCUAGUUGGUAAGGUAACGGCUUACCAAGGCUACGAUGUCUAGGGGCUCUGAGAGGAGAAUCCCCCACACUGGUACUGAGACACGGACCAGACUCCUACGGGAGGCAGCAGUAAGGAAUAUUGGUCAAUGGACGGAAGUCUGAACCAGCCAUGCCGCGUGCAGGAAGACGGCCCUAUGGGUGGUAAACUGCUUUUAUACGGGAACAAACGUCGGUACGUGUACCGGUCUGAGUGUACCGUAAGAAUAAGGAUCGGCUAACUCCGUG
rnacentral:rRNA from 1 species